AUUGAACGCUGGCGGCAUGCUUUACACAUGCAAGUCGGACGGCAGCACAGAGAAGCUUGCUUCUUGGGUGGCGAGUGGCGAACGGGUGAGUAACGCAUCGGAACGUACCGAGUAAUGGGGGAUAACUGUCCGAAAGGACAGCUAAUACCGCAUACGCCCUGAGGGGGAAAGCGGGGGAUCUUAGGACCUCGCGUUAUUCGAGCGGCCGAUGUCUGAUUAGCUGGUUGGCGGGGUAAAGGCCCACCAAGGCGACGAUCAGUAGCGGGUCUGAGAGGAUGAUCCGCCACACUGGGACUGAGACACGGCCCAGGCUCCUACGGGAGGCAGCAGUGGGGAAUUUUGGACAAUGGGCGCAAGCCUGAUCCAGCCAUGCCGCGUGUCUGAAGAAGGCCUUCGGGUUGUAAAGGA
rnacentral:rRNA from 1 species